rnacentral:lncRNA from 1 species
CAGAGGUGUCGUCCCGCCGCCUCCGUGCUCCUGCGGUGCCAGAGUUCGGGACGCAGGGCCUGCCCUGCCCCAGCCACCCAGACCUGGGGGAGAGGGGAUUGCAACCCAAACUCCAGCUCUGCCUCUAGUAGACGAUGGAACAAAACAAGACGAAAUGACACAGCUAAUUUUAAAAAGAAAUAAAGAAGUUUAAGGCCCAGGAUUUCAGAAAAUUUUGGAAGUGGGCCAGGGGCGGAGCUCUCUGGACGUCGGGGACGCAGCCUUUGCAGCACUGGACGCCUGUAUGAAACUGCCGAUCCCUCGCCAGGACUUAGCUCUGCCCACCCGGUGGAAGAAAGUUAGCAACAGUGGGAGCAAAGCUGCUGACUCUGAGAACUGCAGACUAGGUGCUGGGGACUGGCGUCAUCGGCAGUGGCUCUGGACCUGGAGCAGCACCCCUAGGCCAUCAGUCACUGCCCCAAAGCUGCAGUCACCUCGGAGGAUUCCAGGAACAGAAGACCCUCAAGGACGCCCAAGAUGGGGUUACCCUCCCUGAGUGGCCACGCCAGGAGGGUGCUGAGGCUGUCCAGAGCAGGAGCCGUUGGUCAUCCGGGCUAGUAGAUACCCCCAGAGGACCAGCCCAAGCGCUGCAGCUGGGGUCACCACAGCUCCCCCGAGAUGAGUGAUUAUGCACCCUCCUGUCCCUGUGCCCAGCCCCCUCCUCAUGGAAACCGGAAGCUCACCCCAGUAUCCCUGAAGAGAGGGCGACAACUCCCAGCUCCCACCCUCCGCCCAGGGUAGCUGCACUGAUUAAAUUCCCUUCCUGCUUCACAGCUAUUCUUUCUGUCUGCUCUUGGGGGUAAGUGGCCAGAUCUGAUUUGCUGGGACCCCGAGUCUGGCCCAGGACUCAGGUAACGAGAUCACGUACCACACCAUGCAGAACAGGGCAAGGAAGGCGUCCACGGCUUAGCAAGGACACUGCCUGGUGCACACACGUGGGUGACAUUUGAUCACUGAGUUCCCCCAACUUGGUUGUGAGUCUCGCUAAGGUUCCCUUCAAGGCCAUCGUGACAUCUCCUGAGGAGCGGAGGGGGGACACCCACGCCCGCACUCGCCUGGGGGCUGGAGCAGGCUGCCCUCCAAGGAGAAGACAGCACUACUCCCAGACUCCUGCGAAGCAACAGCCAGGCUCCCCACAGGAUCAUGUGUACACUGUGACAGUAAUAGCGGAUUGGCCAGCAAACAUACAAUUAUUGUAAAUAUAAAUGAAGUGAAGUAGCAGAGAGUCAGCUUUGCCCACUGUGUACUGAAAGCCGAAGUUGGCCGGGGCGCCCCAGUUCCCAGCGUCCUGCACCCGGCGGAGGGCUGGUCCUGCGGUCCGUGGACCCUCCGAGCAGGUCACUCCAAGCCUGAGCGGAGUGUAGGCGUGUGCUCAGCCGUGUUCAGUGCUGCGUGCAGCUAACUCCUGUGGAGCGUGAAAAAGGCUAUUGAGCUGAAGUCGAGAGGAGUCAAGAUGCUGCCCAGCAAGGACAGUAGCCACAAGAACUCUGUCUAAUAUCAAGAUUAGCCACAGCAGGUCUUGAAGUGUGGCUCUGGAAAUGCAGCGGAAGACACAUCCCCCUACAAGUGUGAAGGUCUCGUGUUUAAGACCCAUUCUGCUUGGGUUACCUCCGAGCUCCUCGAUUUAAUCUCUGUCUGUGGUUAUGAACACCACUUCACAUCUCCAUACCAAAGAUACCUCAGCUGGCAUCCUAUGUGACGAGAUUGUUGGGAAGAUGUAGAAUCCAUAAGAAGUGACGGAAUAUACAUUAUCUUACUAAUGUUUUCUCUUGAGAUGGAAGAAAUCAAGCCAUUUGGUGUAUACUUC